AAUUAAAGUUUGAUGUUUCAUUUUGGACAUUUUUAUCAUGUAAGAUCUAUGUUAAAUAUUUAGACUAAUUGAAAAUGAAUGUUUAGUAUUAUUUUACCGCUCAUGAAAGUGUUUUAUCGCUGUAUGAGUGUGUCUGUGAUGUGUGUCUGUGUCACAUGGGCUAAACCAGCUCUUCUGGUUUCUCAACAGGUUUUUGAAACUUCUGUUGUCGCUGUUUUGCUUUAUCAGUCAUUGUGGAACCACUCCUGUACCUGUGACGGGGGGGAAAGGAGGCGACGUCACACUGACAUGUGAAUCUGAGGCCAGAGAGAUUUCUGCUAUAGCUUUAAGCACUCGGUCAAAAAACAUCCUUGUCUGUGAGAGAGAAGAAUGCGAGAGUGAAAACAGCAGAGUGUUUAAAGAAGGAUCAUGUGACAUCAUCAUCAAGGAUCUGAGAUUCAGUGACGCUGGGAAAUACUUUCUGAGAGUCUACAAUGAUGAUCAGACAGAAGUGGAGCGAGAAACCCUGGAAUACCAACUUCAUAUUCAUGAUGAGAUCUCAGUGAAGAAAGGAGAGGAUCUGAAGUUGGAUGUUGUGUUGAUCAACGCUGAUAAAGUGGAGAGAAACUCUCGCUCCGGCUGGACAGAGGUGUGGAGGAGAGGUCACGGGGUCAG